AUUGAACGCUGGCGGCAGGCUUAACACAUGCAAGUCGAGCGGAGAGAGGUAGCUUGCUACUGAUCUUAGCGGCGGACGGGUGAGUAAUGCUUAGGAAUCUGCCUAUUAGUGGGGGACAACAUUUCUAAAGGAAUGCUAAUACCGCAUACGUCCUACGGGAGAAAGCAGGGGAUCUUCGGACCUUGCGCUAAUAGAUGAGCCUAAGUCGGAUUAGCUAGUUGGUGGGGUAAAGGCCUACCAAGGCGACGAUCUGUAGCGGGUCUGAGAGGAUGAUCCGCCACACUGGGACUGAGACACGGCCCAGACUCCUACGGGAGGCAGAAGUGGGGAAUAUUGGACAAUGGGCGCAAGCCUGAUCCAGCCAUGCCGCGUGUGUGAAGAAGGCCUUAUGGUUGUAAAGCACUUUAAGCGAGGAGGAGGCUACUUUAGAUAAUACCUAGAGAUAGUGGACGUUACUCGCAGAAUAAGCACCGGCUAACUCUGUGCCAGCCGCCGCGGUAA
rnacentral:rRNA from 1 species